GACAGAGGGGGCAAGCGUUGCUCGGAAUCACUGGGCGUAAAGGGCGCGUAGGCGGGACGCCAAGUCGGUCGUGAAAUCUCCGGGCUCAACCCGGAGGAGUCGGCCGAAACUGGUGUUCUUGAGGGAGGCAGAGGAGUCUGGAAUUCCGGGUGUAGUGGUGAAAUGCGUAGAGAUCCGGAGGAAUACCAGUGGCGAAGGCGGCACGCUGGGCCAUAACUGACGCUAAGACUCGAAAGCAUGGGUAGCGAACGGG
rnacentral:rRNA from 1 species